rnacentral:sRNA from 1 species
ACCAGGGUCCUGUACUGCUGAUCCGGAGAACCAAGGAUGAGAUCAUCACCACCACGUGAGUGCGUGGGAAUCUCGGCCCUCAGGAACCCCAGAGAUGGCCAGGAACUUGUCCCUUCUACCUCUGCCCACCAGAAACCUGGGUAUCUAGACCCUUCCUCCUAACCUCCAGCCCCUCCAGGGUACAUUCUUCUUACCCCCAGGGUUCCUGAGGACAUCAUGUCCAACCGAGGCAAUGACCUCCUGCUGAAGCUCCUGCAGCAUCGGUAUCCCCGGGUGAUGGCAGAGGAGGGUCUUCGAGUGGUGAGGCAGUGGUUGGAGGCCUCCUCACAGCUGGAGGAAGCCUCAAUUUAUAGCCGAUGGGAGGUGGAAGAGGACUGGUGUCUGUCUGUCCUCCGCUCCUACCAGGCAGAACACGGGCCCGACUUCCCCUGGAGCGUGGGUAAGGAGCUCCUGGGGCAGGAGAGAGGGUGGGAAGGGCCUAGGAAGGGGAUGAAUACCCAGAUGUG